rnacentral:rRNA from 1 species
AACGAACGCUGGCGGCAUGCCUAACACAUGCAAGUCGAACGAGACCUUCGGGUCUAGUGGCGCACGGGUUCGUAACGCGUGGGAACCUGCCUUUAGGUUCGGAAUAACUCAGAGAAAUUUGAGCUAAUACCGGAUGAUGUCUUCGGACCAAAGAUUUAUCGCCUUUAGAUGGGCCCGCGUUGGAUUAGCUAGUUGGUGGGGUAAAGGCCUACCAAGGCGACGAUCCAUAGCUGGUCUGAGAGGAUGAUCAGCCACACUGGGACUGAGACACGGCCCAGACUCCUACGGGAGGCAGCAGUGGGGAAUGUUGGACAAUGGGCGAAAGCCUGAUCCAGCAAUGCCGCGUGAGUGAUGAAGGCCUUAGGGUUGUAAAGCUCUUUUACCCGAGAUGAUAAUGACAGUAUCGGGAGAAUAAGCUCCGGCUAACUCCGUG